UUCUCAUGCCUUUGUGAUCGCAUUUCAGAUGUAGUUUCUCGUGAUUUCUUUCAUCUUUCAGAGCGAGACUUUGAAUUCCACUAAUUUAAGUUUAAGUACGUGUCUAUUCUUUCUUAUCAAUCCGCUUACAAAAAUAGGUUGCUGCACAUGAAUUAGCAGCGGUAAAAGAGCGAAAUAAAAUUCACUGUUGGGGUGAGACUGCAGUUUCUUGCCAUUUCUCAUUCAAUGAGUGUAACAACCACCAUCUUUCUAACUUUCUUCUUUUCCUUUGCAGGGGUACAUUAAGUGAUUCUUAUAGUUAAAGUCAUUAUCAGUCUGAAGAAUCAGAAGAGAGGAAACAACCAAAAAUAAACUUCCAAUGAAUGUAAAGAUGUUUCCGAGUUUUGUUCCGCACUUAUGAUUGCAAGUAAGUAAUGGCUUCUCAUGCCUCAUUUUGCAUUUCAGAUGCAGUUUCUCAUGCUUUUUUUCUUCUUUCAGUGCUAGUCUUUGAGUUCCACUCAUUUGAGUCUGGGUUCGAGUCAAUUUUUUCUCAUCAUUCUGCUUACAAAUGGAACUUGCUGCAAAUUAAUGAGCAGUGGUAAAACAGUGCAAUAAAAUUAUUUGAUGAGUGAUACAUUUAGUGAUUCUUGUAGUUUAAGUCAUUAUCAGUUUGUAGAAUCAGAAGAGAGGAAACAACCAAAAAUCAACUUCCAAUGAAUGUAAAGAUGUUUCCGAGUUUUGUUCCUCUCUUAUGAUUACAAUGCUAGUCUUUGAGUUCCACUCAUUUGAGUCUGGGUUCGAGUCAAUUUUUUCUCAUCAUUCUGCUUACAAAUGGAACUUGCUGCAAAUUAAUGAGCAGUGGUAAAACAGUGCAAUAAAAUUAUUUGAUGAGUGAUACAUUUAGUGAUUCUUGUAGUUUAAGUCAUUAUCAGUUUGUAGAAUCAGAAGAGAGGAAACAACCAAAAAUCAACUUCCAAUGAAUGUAAAGAUGUUUCCGAGUUUUGUUCCUCUCUUAUGAUUACAAUGCUAGUCUUUGAGUUCCACUCAUUUGAGUCUGGGUUCGAGUCAAUUUUUUCUCAUCAUUCUGCUUACAAAUGGAACUUGCUGCAAAUUAAUGAGCAGUGGUAAAACAGUGCAAUAAAAUUAUUUGAUGAGGUGAGUCUACACUUCUCUUGUCAUUUAUCAUUCAAUGAGUGGAAGAACUACCAUCUUUCUAACUUGUUUUUUUUUUCUUUGCAGGGGUACAUUCAGUGAUUCUUGUAGUUUAAGUCAUUAUCAGUUUGAAGAAUCAGAAGAGAGGAAACAACGAAUAAACAACUUGCAAUGAAUGUAAAGAUGUUUCCGAGUUUUGUUCCGCACUUAUGAUUGCAAGUAGGUAAUGGCUUCUCAUGCCUUUGUCAUUUUGCAUUUCAGAUGCAGUUUCUCAUGUUUUCUUUCUUCUUUCAGUGCUAGUCUUUGAGUUCCACUCAUUUGAGUCUGGGUACGAGUCUAUUUUUUCUCGUCACUCCGCCUACAAAUGGAGCUUGCUGCAAAUUAAUAAGCAGCGGUAAUAAAGUGAAAUAAAAUUAUUUGAUGAGGUGAGUCUACACUUUUCUUGUCAUUUAUCAUUCAAUGAGUGGAAGAACCACCAUCUUUCUAACUUUCUUUUUUCUUUGCAGUGAUACAUUUAGUGAUUCUUGUAGUUUAAGUCAUUAUCAGUUUGUAGAAUCAGAAGAGAGGAAACAACCAAAAAUCAACUUCCAAUGAAUGUAAAGAUGUUUCCGAGUUUUGUUCCUCUCUUAUGAUUACAAAGCUAGUCUUUGAGCUCCACUCAUAUAUGAGUCUUAGUAUGAGUCUGUUUCUUUUUAUCAAUCCACUCACAUGACAAGCCUGCUGUAGAAUCUUUAGCAGUGGUAAAACAGUCAAACAAAAUUCAUUGUUGGGGGGUUUAUCAUUAUAAUUUGGUUUAUGACUUAAGACAGCUCUUCAAUUAUUAGAAUGUUACCAAAUAACUUAAAAUAUGUUUUGACAUCCUACUUAGUGAUGCUUUACUAUUGUGAAUGAAUGAGGGCUAUUUACUGCCUUACUUAUUGAAAUAUUUUCAUGAUUAGUCAUCAAUCUGCCCACAACUGUUACUACAUUCUUUACUUCUCUUCAGGCAU